rnacentral:rRNA from 1 species
GACGAACGCUGGCGGCGUGCUUAACACAUGCAAGUCGAACGCUGAAGCCCAGCUUGCUGGGUGGAUGAGUGGCGAACGGGUGAGUAACACGUGAGUAACCUGCCCCCUUCUUUGGGAUAACGCCCGGAAACGGGUGCUAAUACUGGAUAUUCACUGGCCUUCGCAUGGGGGUUGGUGGAAAGGUUUUUUCUGGUGGGGGAUGGGCUCGCGGCCUAUCAGCUUGUUGGUGGGGUGAUGGCUGACCAAGGCUUUGUGGGUUAGCCGGCCUGAGAGGGUGGCCGGGCACGUUGGUAGUGCGAUACGGUCCAGAGUCCUCCGUGAGUCCGCAGUGGGGAAUAUUGCACAAGGGGGGAAAGCCUGAUGCAGCGCCGGCGCGUGAGGGAUUACCGCCUUCGAGUUGUAAACCUCGUUCGCUCAUGGCCAAGCCGCGGCCUUGGGUUGUGGUGACGGUAGUGGGUAAAGAAGCGCCGGCUAACUACGUG